GCCUUCGUGGUGGAACGGUAGACACUCUGGUUUUAGGAACCAGUGCCGAGAGGUGUGUCGGUUCAAAUCCGACCGAAGGCA
rnacentral:tRNA from 1 species